rnacentral:rRNA from 1 species
UACAUAGGGAGCAAGCGUUAUCCGGAUUUAUUGGGUGUAAAGGGUGCGUAGACGGGAAUACAAGUUGGUUGUGAAAUCCCUCGGCUUAACCGAGGAACUGCAACCGAAACUAUAUUUCUUGAGUAUCGGAGAGGAAAGUGGAAUUCCUAGUGUAGCGGUGAAAUGCGUAGAUAUUAGGAGGAACACCAGUGGCGAAGGCGACUUUCUGGACGAAAACUGACGUUGAGGCACGAAAGUGUGGGGAGCAAACAGG